GUGGUUUCACGCUCAAGGCCAGAGCUUUUCUCCGGGAAGGUGGUGAUUGUGAUUAACAGCAGCUGCUGGAGAAUCUGAUUUCACCGAGAUGUAGCUUGCACACAGCUCCCCUUCCCGGCUGGUUUACGCCAGACAAGGAAAAAUAAGGAGAGGGGAACGUCUAAUCACUGCAAGGUGUCUGCCCGACCGGAGCUUUCCGGAGAAAGGUAUGUGGUUUGACUGUUCGUGCUUCUGGGAGACACGGGCACAUAAUAGGUGCGACGGGACUGUGGAUGAAGGUGAAGGCCGGGAAGAGCGAGGCUGGCUGAAGUCACAACCGGCUUUUCCGGAGGAGUGAAGAACAAGUGAGAAAACUCUGACCUCAGUGUCUCCUACCUGGUCGAGGCUCCUGGGACUCAUACUGAAGGAAGGUUCCAUGGUUGGGAGAUGCUGAGGGAAAAGUAAGGGACGUAAGAAGACCCACCCCUAAUAAUUAACGAUGGAGGCCAAGGAGGGCAGCUGUUACAGCUUUUCUCCAACUACCCUGCUGCCACUAUCACCAUCUC